rnacentral:rRNA from 1 species
UCCUUUUGAAUAAGAAUGAAAGGUCUGCUCUGCCCCCUGAUUUAUUGAAGGGCCGCGGUAUAUUAACUGUGCGAAGGUAGCAUAAUAAUUAGUUUUUUAAUUGAAAACUGGAAUGAAUGAGUUGAUGAAAAAAUUUCUUUCUUAGGAUUAUUUGGAUUAUAAUUUAAUUUUUAAGUUAAAAAGCUUAAAUUUGAUUAGGGGACGAGAAGACCCUAUAGAUCUUUAUUUUAUUUUUUAAUAUGUAUUUUUAGUUAAUGGUGUUUAUUUAUUAUUAAAGAUUAAAAUUUUGUUGGGGAGACAUAAAAAGAUAAAUAUCUUUUUAAAUUUAGAAAUCAUUUAUUUUUGUAUUUUUGAUCUUUUUUUUUUGAUUAUUAGAUUAAGUUACCUUAGGGAUAACAGCGUAAUUUUAUUGGAGAGUUCAUAUUGAUAAUAAAGUUUGCGACCUCGAUGUUGAAUUAAGAAUUAAGAUAGGAGUAGAAGUUUAUUUUUUGAGUCUGUUCGACUUUUAAAUUCU